rnacentral:rRNA from 1 species
UACAGAGGUCCCAAGCGUUGUUCGGAUUCACUGGGCGUAAAGGGUGCGUAGGUGGUGAGGGAAGUCGGAUGUGAAAUCUCCGAGCUCAACUCGGAAAUGGCAUUGGAAACUACCUUGCUCGAGGGUUGGAGGGGGGACUGGAAUGCUUGGUGUAGCAGUGAAAUGCGUAGAUAUCAAGCGGAACACCAGUGGCGAAGGCGAGUCCCUGGACAACUCCUGACACUGAGGCACGAAGGCCAGGGGAGCAAACGGG